rnacentral:rRNA from 1 species
GUGCCAGCCGCCGCGGUAAUACGUAGGUGGCAAGCGUUGUCCGGAUUUAUUGGGCGUAAAGCGAGCGCAGGCGGUUUUUUAAGUCUGAUGUGAAAGCCUUCGGCUCAACCGAAGAAGUGCAUCGGGAANUGGGAAACUUGAGUGCAGAAGAGGACAGUGGAACUCCAUGUGUAGCGGUGAAAUGCGUAGAUAUAUGGAAGAACACCAGUGGCGAAGGCGGCUGUCUGGUCUGUAACUGACGCUGAGGCUCGAAAGUAUGGGUAGCAAACAGGAUUAGAUACCCUGGUAGUCCAUACCGUAAACGAUGAAUGCUAAGUGUUGGAGGGUUUCCGCCCUUCAGUGCUGCAGCUAACGCAUUAAGCAUUCCGCCUGGGGAGUACGGCCGCAAGGCUGAAACUCAAAGGAAUUGACGGGGGCCCGCACAAGCGGUGGAGCAUGUGGUUUAAUUCGAAGCUACGCGAAGAACCUUACCAGGUCUUGACAUACUAUGCAAAUCUAAGAGAUUAGACGUUCCCUUCGGGGACAUGGAUACAGGUGGUGCAUGGUUGUCGUCAGCUCGUGUCGUGAGAUGUUGGGUUAAGUCCCGCAACGAGCGCAACCCUUAUUAUCAGUUGCCAGCAUUAAGUUGGGCACUCUGGUGAGACUGCCGGUGACAAACCGGAGGAAGGUGGGGAUGACGUCAAAUCAUCAUGCCCCUUAUGACCUGGGCUACACACGUGCUACAAUGGAUGGUACAACGAGUUGCGAACUCGCGAGAGUAAGCUAAUCUCUUAAAGCCAUUCUCAGUUCGGAUUGUAGGCUGCAACUCGCCUACAUGAAGUCGGAAUCGCUAGUAAUCGCGGAUCAGCAUGCCGCGGUGAAUACGUUCCCGGGCCUUGUACACACCGCCCGU